rnacentral:lncRNA from 1 species
CUCCUUUACUCAAGCUAAAAGAAUACAUGAAAAAAAAGAAGAAAUAAAGCAAAUGGAUCAGAGAUCAAGCAGCAGUAGAAGUAGCAGAAAUCAGCCUCAAAUUCAAUCACUUAAAAGAGUGAAAUUAUCCCAGAAUGCAACCAAUGAAACAGUAAAACAAUUUCAACAGCUCAAGACCCAGCUCUCCAACCCGAAUCAAUUCAUAUUCAUUCCCAGAUGAACCAGAAAGUAUUUCAGAAUUUGAAAAUUUCAGAAAUCAACAAGAGAAAUCAAUGGAACAGUAAAUAUCUAGCCGUUUGUAUUUUCUGUAUUUUUCAGCUCUUCAAACUCUUAGACUCUCUUUUUCCUCUUUUUUUUUCAUAACCUCUGUUCUUCAGCCUUUAAAUAGGCACUGAUUUUAGCGCCUUCCCCAUUACCAAUCCCCUUUCCCCAUUUUUAAUUAACUCCAUUAAAUUUGUUAGUGCACCUCUAACCCUACCACUAUUAGAAGCUUCCCAAUUCAAUUAUUGAAGCUCCCUUAGGCUAGACUACCUAAAUUAACUCCUAUGGUCCUGGUAUUGCCCCUGAAAUUAUCCUCAAGAAGCUAGGCAAAGUAUGGGCUAAUCCUGCACAUAGGGUGCAAACUCAAUUGAAUGGGUCUGAAUUGAACCCCAAAUCCCAAAUCAAAGAAAUAUCAGAACAUUAAUUGAAAAAAAUUCGAAUGAGAAGCUGAAAAAUGAAAAACCAAAGAGUAAACUACAAAACCCAAAACUUAAACUAACCAUUAAUUCUCUUUCAAGCUAGAUACCAAAACAAAAUUAACGAACUUUCUAAAUUAACAAUACUCUACUUAAGCUAAUUAACAGAACAUGCCAUAACCUUAAAAAUAAAAGGAUAGCAAUUUAACAUUAAUUAAAAUUUGAGGAGCAAAACUGAAAGACUAACAAACGAUCCCUAAAUUGAUCUAAAAGGAAAAAAAAAACCGAGUUCAAAAUUCUUCAACACACUCAGACAAAGAACAAGUCACUAGAACAAUCCUAGAAGAAGAAGAAGAAGAAGAGGAGGAGGAGAAGAAAAGACGAACGAAACUGGUCAAAAGAAAAAUAGAACUCACUUGGCUAGACUCGAAAUUAAAAUCUGAUAACUCGAUUCACACAAAACUAAUACCAAUCGCUUUUCUCUGUUAAGAAAGAGCCAAUGACAUCAAUUUUGUAGUGAAUCAGCUUUCCGGAGUCGAUGCAUGCCACCAGUUUUGACCGUAUCGAGUUUUGAAUUUUUAGGGCAUGAAUUUGUAUCUUAUAUUCGAGGGAUUCUAGAAAGAUUCGAAGGAAACUAAGUAGGGAUUUGGAAUGAGGGGGGUUUGGGGGUUCCGGGGUGUGAUUUUGGGGAAGUUUGGAGGCGGCGGCGCCACCGGAAGGCGGUGGGGAGCGGUGGCGGCUGUCUCUAGGGUUUGGGUUAAGCUGAGGGAGA